CAAUAGCGUAUAUUAAAGUUGUUGCAGUUAGGACGCUCGUAGUCGGAUUUCGGGGCGGGCCGACCGGUCUGCCGAUGGGUAUGCACUGGUCGGCGCGUCCUUCCUUCCGGAGACCGUCCCUACUCUUAACUGAGCGGGGGCGGGAGACGGGACUUUUACUUUGAAAAAAUCAGAGUGUUUCAAGCAGGCAGCUCGCUCUUGCAUGGAUUAGCAUGGGAUAAUGAAAUAGGACUUUGGUGCUAUUUUGUUGGUUUCGAACACCGAAGUAAUGAUGAGAAGGGACAGUCAGGGGCACUCGUAUUCCGCCGAGAGAGGUGAAAUUCUCAGACCAGCGGAAGACGAACCACUGCGAAAGCAUUUGCCAGGGAUGUUUUCACUGA
rnacentral:rRNA from 1 species